UAAUUAUUCUUCACAGGUAACAGUGAUUUGCCAACGCCAUCUCUAUCACUAAAGUGUACUGGCGGUUUAGUACUGAACAGCCUGUGCUGGUAUACUUUUUGCUUAAAUUUAGAGAACUUACAGUCCAUCAUAUUCCAAUUUAUUUAUUGCGUAUAUUCUAAUCAGAACUAAUUUAAUUGCCUUAAAUUCAAUUCACUAAACGUUCAUUUGGGCCCUUGCGUGUAAAAAUUUUACAACAGGGCGAUGUUUAUAACAAUUCCGCCUAUUGGGCUUCCUCUCUUCUCAUUGCCAGUGAACGGCCAAUCAUCAACGACCUUUUGUGUACUGAACUACAGGCGUCUGCAAAAUUCCAUACGGUGUGGAACGAAAAAAGUGCUCGUGUUGGAGGUGUAAAAAGCCGUUGCGUGGAAGGAUAUUAUGAAAAAGACUUAACUUUCACCGUAGCCUUCCCAAUCCAAGUGAUUUUCGUCUUGCCUGAAAUAGUGAAGGAAAAAAGGGGUCACAUCAGGCUUCAUCUCCGCUCAGUGACAUGGACGAUGAAGAAUGCAUUGUUGGGAAAAUUCUCGGUCUGAGGAGAAGGAUGGUGAAGUUGGGUACUUGCUGAUAGGAAUUGGUGUUUAAAACGAUGGCAAUACUUGGGAGCCCAAGAAAAUCUUUAUUGUAAUAAUUUGAUUGCAGCAUUUGAAAGCAAAUGUCUAUCGUUGACUGAGAAUCCUGAAAACAAGCUAAGCCAAGAGAAGAAAAUUGUGAAGAAAAAAAGAACUAAAGCACAGUUUGUUUCAAAUUCGUAACUAGAAGCAAUGAACAUCAAGAUGUGGUCAGGAAAUCUAUAGUUUUCUAGAUGUCACUAUGGAUGCCCAGUCUUCCAACAGGAUUUGAUCGAAAUGUAGAGGCGGAGAAAUUUUAGGAGUGAGCGAUGACGGUGGCGAAACUAUAUAGAUAGUUGUACGGAUGCGUAAAGAAUGAUGAUUGCAGGGCAAGAGAAUUUUCUUUUAUAC